rnacentral:lncRNA from 1 species
CUCCCCCGUCCCACCUCCCUUCCUCGGGGUCUAACAAUUCGUCCUCCCAAACCAUUCAAAAACGACCUGGCCCGGGCGGCCGGCCCCUCCACCCGCCUCCUAGCCGCCCUCCCCCUUCCCUCCCCGUCGCCUUCCUCCGGCGGGCGCGGGGCGAUUUCCUUCCCCGCCGGAGCGUGCGGGCAGCGCCCCCGAACCCUAGCGCAGCCCAGGAAGCGGUCGGAGGAGACUGUCCUGGCCGCGGUGGCAGCCCCAUCCGGAGUGGCUGUGACAGCAGCAAUGGCAACAGCUUCUACACAGUGGGUGAUGUCUCAUCUCGCCCAAGAGCCCUCUAGGGGUUGUGCAGGCUGGAGAGUUGGUGUCUUAGCUGCCCAUUAACCUUGUUGGAAAACACACUCACUUCACUUGUAUCAAAGAGUUGCUGGAAUAACUGAUGAAAGAAUGCAAGAAAUAAAUAGUUAUUCAUAGGAACUAU